rnacentral:rRNA from 1 species
CGUGGGUAACCCACCCUUGAGACCGGGAUACCCUCUCGAAAGGGAGGCUAAUACUGGAUACGUUCCCCGGGACGCAAGAUCUGGGGAGGAAAGGUGGCGAAAGCUGCCGCUCUUGGAGGGGCUCGCGGCCUAUCAGCUAGUUGGUGAGGUAACGGCUCACCAAGGCUAUGACGGGUAGCUGGUCUGAGAGGACGACCAGCCACACGGGAACUGAGACACGGUCCCGACUCCUACGGGAGGCAGCAGUGGGGAAUUUUCCGCAAUGGGCGAAAGCCUGACGGAGUGACGCCGCGUGGGGGACGAAGGCCUUCGGGUCGUAAACCCCUGUCAGAGGGAAAGAAGGGUGUCGGCGUGAAUAGCGCCGGCAUCUGACGGUACCUUCAGAGGAAGCCCCGGCCAACUCUGUGCCAGCAGCCGCGGUAAGACAGAGGGGGCAAGCGUUGCUCGGAAUCACUGGGCGUAAAGGGCGCGUAGGCGGGAUGGCAAGUCGGUCGUGAAAUCCUUCGGCUCAACCGAAGAACGUCGGCCGAUACUGCCGUUCUUGAGGGAUGCAGAGGAGAUUGGAAUUCCCGGUGUAGCGGUGAAAUGUGUAGAGAUCGGGAGGAACACCGGUGGC